ensembl:piRNA 21ur-7707 ncRNA
UCUGAAUCGUGUUUGAGAAAG